CAGAAACAUAACGAAACAGACAUUUUUCCUUGACUGACGUGUGAUCGUUUUACUAAAUGGUGAUCUCAAACGGUCUGAGUUUCCAAAAAUGCAAGACGAUACAGCUAUGUGGCAGCUGCUCAUGAAUUUAACAUCAUCUUCUGCAAGAUCAAAUCCAGUACUGGGUAAUCCUUUAGGGCUUUUAACAAAACCGCAAUUGAUACUCUGG
rnacentral:misc_RNA from 1 species